GUGGGGAAUCUUCCGCAAUGGACGAAAGUCUGACGGAGCAACGCCGCGUGAGUGAAGAAGGUUUUCGGAUCGUAAAGCUCUUUCGUUAGGGACGAACGUGCUCUUUGUGAAUAAUGAGGAGUAAUGACGGUACCUAAAUAAGAAGCCACGGCUAACUACGUGCCAGCAGCCGCGGUAAUACGUAGGUGGCAAGCGUUGUCCGGAAUUAUUGGGCGUAAAGCGCGCGCAGGCGGGAUAUCAAGUCUGUCUUAAAAGUGCGAGGCUCAACCUCGUGAGGGGACAGAAACUGGUAUUCUUGAGUGUCGGAGAGGAAAGUGGAAUUCCAAGUGUAGCGGUGAAAUGCGUAGAGAUUUGGAAGAACACCAGUGGCGAAGGCGACUUUCUGGACGAUGUCUGACGCUGAGGCGCGAAAGCUAGUGGAGCAAACAGGAUUAGAAACCCGAGUAGUCC
rnacentral:rRNA from 1 species